GGGGAUGAAAUCUAUGUGAUGUUUCAUUUACAAUGAAAAUUGGUUAUACACCAUCCUUA
rnacentral:tRNA from 1 species